rnacentral:rRNA from 1 species
GCAGUGGGGAAUAUUGGACAAUGGGCGAAAGCCUGAUCCAGCAAUGCCGCCUGAUUAAUGAAGGCCUUAGGGUUGUAAAGCUCUUUUACCAGGGAUGAUAAUGACAGUACCUGGAGAAUAAGCUCCGGCUAACUGCGUGCCAGCAGCCGCGGUAAUACGGAGGGAGCUAGCGUUGU